UGCAGUCGAACGGUAACGGGUUAAGCCGACGAGUGGCGAACGGGUGCCUUAUAUAUCGGAACGUGCCCAGUCGUGGGGGAUAACGUAGAGAAAUUUACGCUAAUACCGCAUACGAUCUAAGGAUGAAAGCGGGGGAUCGCAAGACCUCGCGCGAUUGGAGCGGCUGAUAUCAGAUUCGGUUGUUGGUGAGGUAAAAGCUCACCAAGCCGACGAUCUGUAGCUGGUUUGAGAGAACGACCAGCCACACUGGGACUGAGACACGGCCCUGACUCCUACGGGAGGCAGCAGUGGGGAAUUUUGGACAAUGGGCGAAAGCCUGAUCCAGCAAUGCCGCGUGCAGGAAGAAGGCCUUCGGGUUGUAAACUGCUUUUGUACGGAACGAAAAGGUCUGCCCUAAUACGGUGGGCUCAUGACGGUACCGUAAGAAUAAGCACCGGCUAACUACGUGCCAGCAGCCGCGGUAAUACGUAGGGUGCGAGCGUUAAUCGGAAUUACUGGGCGUAAAGCGUGCGCAGGCGGUUAUAUAAGACAGUUGUGAAAUCCCCGGGCUCAACCUGGGAAUUGCAUCUGUGACUGUAUAGCUAGAGUACGGUAGAGGGGGAUGGAAUUCCGCGUGUAGCAGUGAAAUGCGUAGAUAUGCGGAGGAACACCGAUGGCGAAGGCAAUCCCCUGGACCUGUACUGACGCUCAUGCACGAAAGCGUGGGGAGCAAACAGGAUUAGAUACCCUGGUAGUCCACGCCCUAAACGAUGUCAACUGGUUGUUGGGUGCAUUAGUACUCAGUAACGAAGCUAACGCGUGAAGUUGACCGCCUGGGGAGUACGGCCGCA
rnacentral:rRNA from 1 species